GUUUGAGUGGAGUAGAAGUUUAACUCGUCGCCCUCCCAUCUCCGGAUGAGUUAGGCGGAGACCCGGGUGCGAAUCCCGGCUCAAGCA